GGGUUGUGAGGUUAAGCGACUAAGCGUACACGGUGGAUGCCCUGGCAGUCAGAGGCGAUGAAGGACGUGCUAAUCUGCGAUAAGCGUCGGUAAGGUGAUAUGAACCGUUAUAACCGGCGAUUUCCGAAUGGGGAAACCCAGUGUGAUUCGUCACACUAUCAUUAACUGAAUCCAUAGGUUAAUGAGGCGAACCGGGGGAACUGAAACAUCUAAGUACCCCGAGGAAAAGAAAUCAACCGAGAUUCCCCCAGUAGCGGCGAGCGAACGGGGAGCAGCCCAGAGCCUGAAUCAGUGUGUGUGUUAGUGGAAGCGUCUGGAAAGGCGCGCGAUACAUGG
rnacentral:rRNA from 1 species